GUGGUGUCACAGAAUCGGGAAGGCCCCGAACUGUUUACUUAAAACACAGACAUCUGCAACGAUUAAUUUCUUUGUAUAGGUGUUGAAUUUUGCCCGAUGCCAUUAAUAUAAAGUCGAUAAGCGCGUGCGUAUUUAUUGACUGAAAAUCUGGUCAAUGGCGGUCUUACUAUGAGGAUCCUAAGGUAGCAAAAUUAAUUGUCCAUUAAAUGUGGUCCUGACUGAAUAAAGUAACGAUGGUCUCGCUGUCUCUACAAGUAUCUCAGUGAAAUUGAAUU
rnacentral:rRNA from 1 species